rnacentral:rRNA from 1 species
CAGUCGACGCUUUUUCUUUCACCGGAGCUUGCUCCACCGAAAGAAAAAGAGUGGCGAACGGGUGAGUAACACGUGGGUAACCUGCCCAUCAGAAGGGGAUAACACUUGGAAACAGGUGCUAAUACCGUAUAACACUAUUUUCCGCAUGGAAGAAAGUUGAAAGGCGCUUUUGCGUCACUGAUGGAUGGACCCGCGGUGCAUUAGCUAGUUGGUGAGGUAACGGCUCACCAAGGCAACGAUGCAUAGCCGACCUGAGAGGGUGAUCGGCCACAUUG